UGAGAAUCUAACACAAACGGAGCAGUUUCCUACUAAAGACCGGUGGACAAAAAAGAUGAUUUUUGUCUUUGGAGAGUCCUUACAGCAGGAAGGUCAGCAGAUGAAAAACCAGGAAACAUUUUAUCCCGGCUGCCACAGCACUCUUCAAAACAAACUUGGGGUUUCCUCCGGUGGAACAUUCCAGACCUGAGUGUUAACGCCCUAUGCGUGAGCUGCAGUGAAAGGGAGGGAUGGAGGCAGCAGACUACUGGAGCUGGCUCAGACCCCCAGGCCGCCUGAGCGCACACUAUGCGCCCACGCACGUGACCAUCAGCCCGAGUGAGUCAGCUUUCCCACCCCCAUCCUGCCAGUGCGUUGCCCUGGUUACCGGACUAGCACCAGGGGCCGGGGCGGGGCCAGACCCGGAGGCGGAGCCUGAGGGCGGCCAGUAAUCUAGGUUUCUCA
rnacentral:lncRNA from 1 species